rnacentral:rRNA from 1 species
UCCUACGGGAGGCUGCAGUGGGGAAUAUUGGGCAAUGGGCGAAAGCCUGACCCAGCGACGCCGCGUGGGGGAAGAAGGCCUUCGGGUUGUAAACCCCUUUUGCAGGGGACGACACAGGACGGUACCCUGCGAAUAAGCCACGGCUAACUCUGUGCCAGCAGCCGCGGUAAGACAGAGGUGGCAAGCGUUGCUCGGAUUCACUGGGCUUAAAGGGCGCGUAGGCGGCUUUGUAAGUCUGAGGUGGAAUUCCACAGCUUAACUGUGGAACUGCCUUGGAAACUGCAAGGCUUGAGUCAGGUAGAGGGAGGCGGAAUUCCCGGUGUAGCGGUGAAAUGCGUAGAUAUCGGGAGGAAGGCCGGUGGCGAAGGCGGCCUCCUGGGCCUGUACUGACGCUGAGGCGCGAAAGCGUGGGGAGCAAACAGGAUUAGAUACCCGGGUAGUC